rnacentral:lncRNA from 1 species
UUCACAAGAACCUGUGUAACCGACACCAAACAUAUAGUAAUUUGCUAGUAAAUAACCCCAAACGUAAACCAAUACUAUUUGGAACUAAAUAUCUAAUCUCUCAAAAAGAAUCGAACCAAACAACAAUGGGUAUAAUUUAUAAAUUGGUUCUCAAAAGAAGAAAAAUGAAAUUAUAUAGAAAAAGGUGAAACCGAACAGAAUUAGUCAAUCAGACGACAUUCCAAUUCAAAAGGUCAACAAAAAAAAAAAGAAGAAGAAUCUUUCUUUUAGGAAUCAUGCAGAUAAGACACGUGGAAUAAGAAGAAGAGGGGUAUAUAUGUGUGGAGUAUACUAACCGCUGUCUUAACAAGCUCAUCGGCGUAGGAGGAAGCGGCACGGACGGUGAGGGAGGUGGCGCGGUUGGGGAGGACGACGGAGGCGGAGAAAGGCUGACGGAAGAGAACGCUCUGUCCCUUGACCCAUUCCGAUUUGUCCAACACCGGAGAUGCCUUGAGGAGUGAGGUCGAUGCCAUUACUGUAAAAUGUUAUCUCUUUCUCUUCUCUGCCUUUGGUUUUUUUUUUUCUUUUUUUCUUUUUGUGUGUGUGAGAGAGAGACUCGAGAGUAAAUUAGCUUAUGACACCAACCUUAUCU